GACACGCUCAGCUGAAAUCCUAACCCUAGCACCCGCGAUCGCCGCCUCUCCCUAGACUCUUAAACACCAGAGACACGCCAAGCAUCAGCUGAAAUCCUAACACUAGCACCGGCGGCCGCCCCCUCUCCUUAGAGUCUUAGACUCUCAAACACAAACAACCAGAGAAUCGCCAAGCAUUAGCAGAAAUUUGAAAGUUGAAACCAAUCAAGCCUCUCAAGUCUCAACAAUAGAUCAACGUGUUCCAGAACGGCAGAACCUAUCUAGUUGGCCUUUCCUCUUCAUCUAUACAAGAUCACAGACACAUG
rnacentral:lncRNA from 1 species